AAACUUUCAACAACGGAUCUCUUGGUUCUGGCAUCGAUGAAGAACGCAGCGAAAUGCGAUAAGUAAUGCGAAUUGCAGAAUUCAGUGCAGUGCAUCGAAUCUUUGAACGCACAUUGCGCCCUGUGGUAUUCCGCAGGGCAUGCCUGUUCGAGCGUCAUU
rnacentral:rRNA from 1 species